rnacentral:rRNA from 1 species
UACGGGGGGGGCAAGCGUUGUUCGGAAUUACUGGGCGUAAAGGGUUCGUAGGUGGCCAACUCAGUCAGACGUGAAAUCCCUCAGCUCAACUGGGGAACUGCGUCUGAUACUAGAUGGCUUGAGUGCAGGAGAGGAACGCGGAAUUCCAGGUGUAGCGGUGAAAUGCGUAGAUAUCUGGAGGAACACCGGUGGCGAAGGCGGCAUCCUGGACCAACACUGACGCUGAUGAGCGAAAGCCAGGGGAGCAAACGGG